UCGAGAAUCUUUCGCAAUGGGCGAAAGCCUGACGAAGCGACGCCGUGUGUGUGAUGAAGGCCCUUGGGUCGUAAAGCACUUUCGCUUGGGAACAAGAAAGGGUUGUAAAUAGCAGCCCAAUUUGAGGGUACCAGGUAAAGAAGCACCGGCUAACUCCGUGCCAGCAGCUGCGGUAAUACGGAGGGUGCAAGCAUUAAUCGGAAUUAUUGGGCGUAAAGGGCGCGUAGGCGGUGAGGCAAGUCAGGUGUGAAAUCCCGGAGCUCAACUCCGGAACAGCACUUGAAACUGCCUUUCUAGAGGGUAGGCGGAGGAAACGGAAUUCCACAAGUAGCGGUGAAAUGCGUAGAUAUGUGGAAGAACACCUGUGGCGAAAGCGGUUUCCUAGCUUAUACCUGACGCUGAGGCGCGAAAGCAAGGGGAGCAAACAGGAUUAGAUACCCCCGUAGUCC
rnacentral:rRNA from 1 species